GACGAACGCUGGCGGCGUGCCUAACACAUGCAAGUCGAACGGAGUUUCCAGCAAUGGAUUCUUAGUGGCGAACGGGUGAGUAACGCGUAGACAACCUACCUUCGAGAUGGGACAACACUGCGAAAGUGGUGCUAAUACCGAAUGUUGUAACGAGCAUGCAUAUGCUUGUUACUAAAGAUGGCCUCUAUUUAUAAGCUAUCGCUAGAAGAUGGGUCUGCGUCUGAUUAGCUAGUUGGUGAGGUAAUGGCUCACCAAGGCGACGAUCAGUAGCCGGUCUGAGAGGAUGAACGGCCACACUGGGACUGAGACACGGCCCAGACUCCUACGGGAGGCAGCAGUGGGGAAUCUUCCGCAAUGGACGAAAGUCUGACGGAGCAACGCCGCGUGAGUGAAGAAGGUUUUCGGAUCGUAAAACUCUGUUUUCAGGGACGAAUGUGCAGCUUGUAAAUAAUGAGUUGUAAUGACGGUACCUGAGUAGAAAGCCACGGCUAACUACGUGCCAGCCGCCGCGGUAA
rnacentral:rRNA from 1 species